AUGAACCUUCCAUCCCAUGGGGAGCAGAGCAGACGCCCGAUGAAACAAUGGAGAAUCGGAAGCCGCCAGGCCUGGCGCCUAGCUCCUUUAUCCUCUGCACAGACGGAGGGCCUCAUCAGUGCGUCCACUUCCAGCCUAGCCAGAGAUGAUCGAACUGUAGGAGACGGUGUCCCUGCGAGGCAUUCCAUCGAACAGCCUGCGCGCCAUCGGGAGGUCACGCAGCGCGGCGAGGAGGAAGUCGUGCGAGAAGCGGCUGGAUGCUGCGGCGCUGGGCGCGUGGGCUACCGGGAGGACGCGGGCGUGAGCGCCGCAUGGCCGUCAGUGUGCCGAGGGUGCGCAGCGGAGGCGCUGCCUGGCACACACACAAACCGCCUGGUAGUUCUCUGA
rnacentral:rRNA from 1 species